rnacentral:lncRNA from 1 species
AGCGUUGGUAGUGCUGGUGGCUCAUGAUGAUGCUGGUGGCUGUUCUCGGUGGUGUUGCUAUGGUGGCAGACAGUGGUUGCUGCUGGUUUCUAUUUUCUUCUUCUUCCCUGCUGCUUUUUGUUAUCUCUACUCCUUCCCUUUGUUUUUAUGUUCUUCUCAUUUUGUCUCUAGCGGUGCUGCUGGUGGCGACUAAGAGGAAUGGUGGCAGCUGCUGUGGUUCCAGACGGUGGUAAUUACUCUUUUUUUUCUUCUGUUUAUCUCCUGGUUCUCUUGUUUUUUUCUUCUGGUUUUUUAUCCGUUCUUGCUCUCAUUCUUUCCUUUUUCCUUGUUUUUCUUCUCUGUUUUUCACCUUUCAAAAACCUUCAUUCACCCCAAAAGUUUCUUCUUGUCCUCUGUUUUUUUUUGUUUCAUCCCCCUUCCUCCCUGUCAUUUGUUCCCCCCCAGGUAUUUAUAAGAGGUAGGGGAGAGGGCCACCUUACCCCUAUCUAAGUGUAGGGUAAGGUGGCUGGGGUAUGGUUGUGUGCAGCUGCCUCACGGCAUGUUUCCCUUUUCUUUGCUUCAUUAUAGUGGCAGGGUAUGUGUGGGUAUGGGUUGUGUCGGGUUUUUAUGGAAAGUGGGGGGGGGGGGGAAGAGAUAGUAGGAAAAAGGAUUGAAGAAUAUCCUUCUCCCUUACCUCUACACAUGUAGGGGAGGAAGGAGAAC